rnacentral:rRNA from 1 species
GUUAAGCUCGCCGCCUGGGAAGUACGGUCGCAAGACUGAAACUUUAAGGAAUUGGCGGGGGAGCACCACAAGGGGUGCGGCGUGCGGUUUAAUCUAACUCAACACAGAGAACCUUACUAGAAGCGACGGCAGGAAGAAGGCCAGUCUGAAGGGCUUGCCUGACGAGCCGAGAGGUAGUGCAUGGCCGCCGUCAGCUCGUGUCGUAAGAUGUCCAGUUAAGUCUGGCAACGAGCGAGACCUAUACCUGCUAUUGCUAACAGCCACUACGGUGGGACUGAGCACUUUGCAGGGACUGCCUUGGAAACAAGGAGGAAGGUGUAGGCAACGGUAGGUCUGUAUGCUCCGAAUCUUCUAGGCUACACGCGCGCAACAAUGGUAGUGACAAUGGGCUGCGACUCCGAAAGGAGAAGCUAAUCCUCGAAACAUUACCUCAGUUCGGAUUGCGGAUUGUAACUCAUCCGCAUGACGCCGGAAUCCCUAGUAACCAGAGUUCAUCAAAUUCUGGUGAAUAUGUCCCUGCUCCUUGCACACACCGCCCGUCAAACCAACCGAGCAGGACUUUGGUAAAAUCCACUUUCUUGAGUAGAUUGAACCUAAGUUCAGUGAGGCGGGUUAAGUCGUCACAAGGUAGCCGUAGGGGAACCUGCGGCUG